UGCUCUUCACCCAGGCUGCAGUGCAGUGGUACAAUCUUGGCUCACUACAACCUCCACCUCCAGGGGCUCAAGCGAUCCUCCCACCUCAGCUUCCUGAGUAGCUGGGACCACAGGCAAACGCCACUGUGCCCAGCUAAUUUUUAAACCUUUUUGUAGCAACAAGGUCUCACUAUGUUGCCCAGGCUGGUCUUGGACUCCUGGGCUCAAACAAUCGUCCCGCCUUGGCCUCCCAAAAUGCUGGCAUUCCAGGCAGGAGCCACUGUACCUGGCCCCACCUUCUUUUUGCUGUAGGCUGAGCACAGGAGAAGUUGAAUUUAUCAGGGAACCUAAAGACAUGCCCUUCUUUGAAGGCAGAAGUCCUGUCCACGUCAAAUGCCCUCCCUCCAUCCCUCCCAGCUCCCUAGUCAUCCUUCCUAUUCUAGGCUCCAGGAGCGAGACCUCCUCCAUGUGCCUGCUAACGUCAGUGCCACGGGCCCUCUUUGGUUCUCCUGCCCACCUUCUCUGACUCUGCCCAACACCCACGGGCCAGAGGCCCUUUUCCUUCUUGGCACUUCUCGGUGUUGUAGCAGGAUGAGCCACGGACAAAACCCCUCAGACGCCGGGUUAAGGAAUGAUUUGGUUUUAUUCGGCCAGGAGCUUCAGCGGACUCAAGUCUCAAGAACCGAACUCUCUGAAGACAGAGUUCCUGGCCCUUUUAAGGGUUUACAACCUUUAGGUUCCACGUGAAAGGGUCGUGAUAGAUUGAGAGCACAUGCGUUUAGAGUGGGGUGGGGGGGUUAAUCUUUUAACCUCAGGCCUGAUCAUCAGGGGCACCAGCUGGUCUUGCCACUGACUUCAUUCCUGUUGUUUUUCAACUUUUACUUCCUCCUCCUCUUCAGACAGGAGACAGUAAGAGAAAUGGCCUCUCUCCUCAGCGGCACAAUGGACUUUAGACAUCGCGCCUGUUUUGUACUCUCCAAGCCGGACUUCUCUACUCGCUGGCCUGGCGCUGAUGCCCAGAGGCCCCCUGUGCUUGUGGUCGUGGCCUUAGACAGUUCCCUGCCCUUUGUUCCAGCCCCGCCACACAGUCUGCACGGCCUCCACCGCAGCUCUGGUGAGCCUCUUGGCCAGCUCCUGGUGACAGCGUGCACCUCCCUGCUCUGAGAAGGUCUCCCUCUCCUCUCUGCCCACCCUGUACAGAGACAUCUUUCAAGCCCAUCCCAGAGGAGAGUGGCCUCUCUCCUCAACCCCAAGAGGACGGCCUCUCAUGUGGCUGUCACCCAUCUGACCCCUAUCACAGACCUGAGGAGUGGGCAGAGUCCUUGACCGCAUUCUAGGGAGACUUCCAAAAGAAAAAAGACCUGCAUUUCUUCAACAACCCACACUGAGAGACUUUCCUGCACUUCUGACCUGUGGCUAACACUCCUCACCGUUCAUUCUGUCAUCAGUGUUUUGGGGAAGCACCUUUAACUCUCUGUGAUUUACAGGUUAUUAAGUGGCCCUUACAAUUCCCUCCAGAGAUGGAAAAGACAUGAUGAUGGUGUCUGAGCUCACAGCAGCAAGCAGGCGUGUGUGCUCAGCAGCCACGUGGCUCAUCUGCUGGGAGCUUGCUAAAUACGAUGUUCUACAACAUUGCCUAACACAAGGGGAGACGCUCCUGACUCAGAGUGUUUAAUUGCUCACCUACUUCUUUUUCUGCCCUCUUGGGCUUCUGAAAUGAAAAGAACCCUGGGGUGAUACAGUGAGUCAAAGGGGUGCCAGCUGCAUCACAGCAAAAUAGAUUCCUAAAAAAUCCCUGGCCUAAGAUGAUACCCUUGGCUGGAUAAGUUUGAAUGUGCUCAUAGUGGACAUGGUAGAAUGAAGGUGGUUGAAAUGUUCACAUUAAAGAACUUCCACCCAGAUUGCAAGAAAAGAGAGAAGAAUGGAGACGGCAGCACGAGUCCCUACAAUAAAAGCAGAUGUUUUGAGAUCAGUUAUAUUUCUUCUGACAAAAAUUAAAGACAGAAACCAAAGUUUAGCCUGAGGCUACAAUUAAUUGGGCAAUAAGCCAGAGGCACAUAUGGCAUAGACAGAUUUAAACAUUUCUCCCUG
ensembl:lncRNA novel transcript